rnacentral:rRNA from 1 species
UGCCAGACUCCUACGGGAGGCAGCAGUGAGGAAUAUUGGUCAAUGGGCGGAAGCCUGAACCAGCCAAGUCGCGUGAGGGACUAAGGCCCUGCGGGUCGUAAACCUCUUUUGCCGGGGAGCAGUGGUCCGGACGCGUCCGGACCGGGAGAGUACCCGGAGAAAAAGCAUCGGCUAACUCCGUGCCAGCAGCCGCGGUAAUACGGAGGAUGCGAGCGUUAUCCGGAUUUAUUGGGUUUAAAGGGUGCGUAGGCGGGAUGCCAAGUCAGCGGUAAAAAUGCGGUGCUCAACGCCGUCGAGCCGUUGAAACUGGCGUUCUUGAGUGGGCGAGAAGUAUGCGGAAUGCGUGGUGUAGCGGUGAAAUGCAUAGAUAUCACGCAGAACUCCGAUUGCGGAGGCAGCAUACCGGCGCCCUACUGACGCUGAGGCACGAAAGCGUGGGUAUCGAACAGGAUUAGAUACCCUCGUAAC